AGCUUUGCUCAGUGGCAGUAUCGUAGCCAAUGAGGUUGAUCCGAGGUGCGAUUAAUUGCUAAAAGAAUGGGUGUGGCUGUACUCCAAUAAAAUUUAAUUCAUGGACACUGAAAUUUGAAUUUUAUAUAAUUUUCAUUUGUUGCAAA